GGCGAACGCUGGCGGCGUGCUUAAGACAUGCAAGUCGAACGGCAGUCUUCGGACUGUAGUGGCGCACGGGUGAGUAACGCGUAACUGACCUACCCCAAAGUCGCGGAUAACGAUUCGAAAGAAUCGCUAAUACGUGAUGUGCUGUCAGAUUGUGUUCUGCCAGUAAAGGUUGAUUGCUUUGGGAUGGGGUUGCGUUCCAUCAGCUAGUUGGUGGGGUAAAGGCCCACCAAGGCGACGACGGAUAGCCGGCCUGAGAGGGUGGCCGGCCACAGGGGCACUGAGACACGGGUCCCACUCCUACGGGAGGCAGCAGUUAGGAAUCUUCCACAAUGGGCGAAAGCCUGAUGGAGCGACGCCGCGUGAGGGAUGAAGGUCUUCGGAUCGUAAACCUCUGAAUCAGGGACGAAAGACACUUCGGUGGGAUGACGGUACCUGAGUAAUAGCACCGGCUAACUUCGUGCCAGCCGCCGCCGUAACAC
rnacentral:rRNA from 1 species